GUAAUAUUUGCCAUGAUCUUUCUGAGAAAGCCAAAAUUGUGGCACGUUCCUGCCUCUCUUAAGUUUUUACGUUCUUAGCUUUAUCUUGCAUGUUACCAGUUUUGUUGGCAGUAUUUUUGUUAAUGUUACUGACUUGAAAAUAUAUUUUAUCCAUUGUAACCAAAGCUCUUGUGAACUUUGAUUUUCAGAUAAGUUUUUUCAGUCAGCCAUGAGCAUAUGCUCAUCUCUCAGAGAUCUAGAACUUGCCUACCAAGUACAUGGCCUUUUAAAUACCGGAGACAACUGGAAAUUCAUUGGACCUGAUCAUCAUCGUAAUUUCUAUUAUUCCAAGUUCUUCGAUUUGAUUUGUCUAAUGGAACAAAUUGAUGUUACCUUGAAGUGGUAUGAGGACCUGAUACCUUCAGUAAGAUGGUUCAUUACUUGUUAUUUAUCAUUCUAGAUGAAUUGGGUUUCUGCAGAUUAAUGCUUUAAAAAUGUGUUUCUCUUAAUCAGGUCUACUUUCCCCACUCCCAAACAUUGAUACAUCUUCUCCAAGCAUUGGAUGUGGCCAAUCGGCUAGAAAUGAUUCCUAAAAUUUGGAAAGUAAAGAAUAUGGUCAUACUUUCCGCAGCGACCUGAGAGAAGAGAUCCUGAAGCUCAUGGCAAGGGACAAGCACCCACCAGAGCUUCAGGUGGCAUUUGCUGACUGUGCUGCUGAUAUCAAAUCUGCGUAUGAAAGCCAACACAUCAGACAGACUGCUCAGGAUUGGCCAGCCACCUCUCUCAACUGUAUAGCUAUCCUC
rnacentral:sRNA from 1 species